rnacentral:lncRNA from 1 species
GCACAAGAAGGCAGAGAAACAAGAAUUGACCUCGCAAAUUCCCAAUUUCAGUUAUACACACAAGCAAGAUUAGGGUUUUCAAUUUUGUUCAUUUUCUUAUCAAAAUCAGAUCUGUAAUUUAAACAUUCAUGUUUGCAAUCAUAUGUGAGAUAUGUUAUAUGUGUAUAUAAGCAACUGUGGGUAAUCCUAUGAUGGGAAUAAUCGAUGACUUACUGAAAUUGAACAAGAAUUGGACUGAUUUCAGUUUGAAAUCUUGAAUUGUUAUAGAAUCUGCAUAGAGUCAUGGUUGGAGUAAGAAUAUGAUCCAAAGGAUUAAUGGAAUGGCACAAAAAAAGAUGCUUACCUUGAUCUUGAUUAGAAGAUAAUUUGGAA